GGAAGAGAACCCUAAGGUGAACGGCGGCCGAGUCUACCAGAUCGACCAGAUCACCGGCGACCAGGGCGACAAGUGGCAGCGUCUCGACCAUGUCUUACCUCACGAGAUACGCUACAGGUACCAGAUCAUCGUGGCUAACGUUAGAGGCUCCAGGUUCCGCGGCGACUUGGGUUUCGAUGACUUCACGCUGUCCCCGGAGUGUUUUGGCCGAGGUGUACCGCCAGAUGAGGUGAAGAAAUGCCCUCCCGCCAGCUUCCCGACUACACCUGGU